rnacentral:rRNA from 1 species
AGAUUGAACGCUGGCGGCAGGCCUAACACAUGCAAGUCGAGCGGUAGAGAGGUGCUUGCACCUCUUGAGAGCGGCGGACGGGUGAGUAAUGCCUAGGAAUCUGCCUAGUGGUGGGGGAUAACGUUCGGAAACGGACGCUAAUACCGCAUACGUCCUACGGGAGAAAGCGGGGACCUUCGGGCCUCGCGCCAUUAGAUGAGCCUAGGUCGGAUUAGCUAGUUGGUGAGGUAAUGGCUCACCAAGGCGACGAUCCGUAACUGGUCUGAGAGGAUGAUCAGUCACACUGGAACUGAGACACGGUCCAGACUCCUACGGGAGGCAGCAGUGGGAAUAGUUGGACAAUGGGACGAAAGCCUGAUCCAGCCAUGCCGCGUGUGUGAAGAAGGUCGUUCGGAUUGUAAAGCUACUUUAAGUGGUAAGGAAGGUUAGUAACCUUAAUACGUUAGACUAACUUUGAACGUUACCGAACAGAAAUAAGACAACCGGUCUAACUUCGU